rnacentral:sRNA from 1 species
GAACCUUAAAUUGAAUGCCGUUCGCGA